rnacentral:pre_miRNA from 1 species
GCGCUUGCAGGUGCAGCACCACCAAGAUUCACAUCGGGUUCUCCAGUCGUAAUUAAUUAACGAGGAGUACAACCAUGAUGAGAAUCUUGAUGAUGCUGCAUCGGCAACCGC